rnacentral:tRNA from 1 species
CCUUCGAUAGCUCAGUUGGUAGAGCGGUGGACUGUAGAGAAUUUGGAGCGUGUACGAUCAAGUAGUAAAAGUGAUCAAAAAAAACCUCCAAUCAACAAUAGUAAUCCAUAGGUCACUGGUUCAAAUCCGGUUCGAAGGA